CAUGUAGACGGCAUGAUAAGCCAAAUGUGAAAUGUAGGGGCUCAACCCCUGCACUGCGAUUGGAACUGUCAAGCUUGAGUGCAGGAGAGGCAAAUGGAAUUCCCAGUGUAGUAGUGAAAUGCGUAGAGAUUGGGAGGAACACCAGUGGCGAAGGCGAUUUGCUGGACUGCAACUGACGUUGAGAUGCGAAAGCUAGGGGAGCAAACG
rnacentral:rRNA from 1 species